rnacentral:misc_RNA from 1 species
UGUCCUCUCCAAAAAGGGUAGCACUACAGUGUAAGACAUGCUAUCAGUAAAUUAACAAAUAAAGGAGUCGAAGAGGCUGUAUUUUUACAAAGAAAAUAAUUUGACCAUCCCCCUUGAGUUUGGAACUAUGCCCAAGCAAAACUUUAUCAAACAUGUUUACUAAUGACACUUUCAACAGUAGUUCUCUUUCCAAGGGGGGAAAAAGUAAACCUCACUGCAACGAGAGGAGGAAAAAAACAUUUUUCAAUCUACUCAAAAAAAAAAACUGAACUGUUGAUCAAAUUUAUGUAUAUAGUCCAGUUACUUGCAAAGCAAAGCUUAGCACAAUAACACAAAAAUACAGGGAAUGUAAAGCGUUAAAAAAGCAAAUGGCCAUGAAUAACAAACAUUUCAUGAUUUCCUUCUGUCAAUCCUGGUACAUGUUCACUUCUAAAACCUUCACCAAAUCUCCAAGACAGUAUGCAGCCUUAUAUCUUUUGAGAAAAUAGUAUCAGUCACACAUAGGUUUUCCACCUACAUGAGGCUUGACCAUUUGUCAACAUGAUUCAACCCACACUUUGACAGGAAACAUGCAUAGCGUUUAACCCAAACCAGAAAAAGGAGGGCCGGUCAUGGCCAACCCAGUUCAACUGGCCAGUCCAGCCUAUGUUUGAAACAAUUAGAUUAGAUGGAGAAAGACAUGCACAUUGUCGCUUUGCAAUUUAUCACUAAAUAUUUCACAUUAGGAAUCUCCUUUAAGGAUCCUAGUGGAUAAAACAAUUCAGGAUAACAAACAACAAAUAAAAUACAAAACCUUAAAAGGAAGCACCCAUAACAUUAGAUUUUUGGGAUAAUUACAUCAACUUCUGGACUCGUUACAAGUUGAAACUCAUACUCAUAAGUCAUAAUGUAAUAUCAACCCUAAUCUUUAAUUUGGAUUCAACAUUAUUCAUCACCUCCUCGCUUUUUUUGAAAUUUCUUUCAGUACAUAUUUUUGUGGACAAAAUUGGUUUAGUGCAAUCAAUUUUGAUGUAAGACAUGAUUUAUACAAAAUAACUGAGUAUUAUGUGAGAGGGAAAAAAAUAGAUAUAGGAUUGAAUCUUUUUUUUUUCUUGUAAUUAACAUAUAAAUUAUAGCUAUUUAUAAAAGUUGAACUUCAAAACUUUUUUCACUUGAUAAGAAAUUUCUUUUCACCCCCUUCCAUAAUUUUAUGGAGAAAUGAAUAAUAUUUGCGAAUAGAAGAUUAAAUGGGGCCAAGGGCUACAGUUGUAGUAGUUUAUAAAAUUCAAGGUUAAUAUUGUAACGUUUUAAAGAAUGUAGGGUUCAAUUUGUAAUGACCUUUAAACUUUAGAGCGUUAAAUAAUGUUAUCCUUAAGUAAUUUUACCAUCCCGCCAUUAUGGUGAAGACAAUUCUUGUCUACAGAAAUAAAAAUCAGCUUACCAUCAUAACCUAAAAAGCUGAGAU